rnacentral:rRNA from 1 species
UACGUAGGGCGCAAGCGUUGUCCGGAAUUAUUGGGCGUAAAGAGCUCGUAGGCGGUCUGUUACGUCCGCUGUGAAAACCCAGGGCUUAACCCUGGGCUUGCAGUGGAUACGGGUAGACUAGAGGCAGGUAGGGGAGAAUGGAAUCCCCGGUGUAGCGGUGAAAUGCGCAGAUAUCGGGAGGAACACCGGUGGCGAAGGCGGUUCUCUGGGCCUGACCUGACGCUGAGGAGCGAAAGCGUGGGGAGCGAACAGG